rnacentral:tRNA from 1 species
GGGAAUAUGGCGGAAUUGGUAGACGCUACGGACUUAAAAUCCGUUGACCUUAAACGGUCGUGAGGGUUCAAGUCCCUCUUUUCCCA